GUGGACUCUUCCAUCGUUGCAAUUUAUUUUUAGCUCGUCCCCACGGUUUUUUCUUAGAAUAAAACCUCAACGGUUAAUGUUUAGAUGCUCCCCGUGAACCGACAGGAGAGAAAUGAAAUGCCUUUGGGCGUUUUUCAGUUGCUUUUUAUCCAGAGCUUCCUGUGGAACGCAGGAAUUGGAUGGACAAUCCCAAACCGGAAUUCCUAUUCACGUCACUCACCAGGACCAGAUGAUUUGGACGAGACUGCCGAAUCGAUGCAAAGAACCAAUGGGUGUGCCUGAGUCUUAUCACCUCUCAACUAGCAUGUGCGCUGGAGCAGUGUGUUUCCCCAGAGCCCGACUCAGAUUCCCCAGUCAGCAGAAUCUAUGUAAAGGCAUGUUCCACUCCUUCACUGAUGGAGGGGUAAAGAUUUAAAGACUUCUGAUGUGGGAGGUCAGCGACCUCAGCCCCCCCUCCCCCAUGCUGCUGUCAUGGCACAUCGCAGUAAGUAGUGCAAUGGGGUCCACCCUAGUUGAAUCAAUGUUUUUUUUUCCUACGUCAUUUCAAUGUGGAAUAGACAUUGAAUUGACGUACGUAUGUGCCCAGCUAGGAGCCAUUCUCCAGCUGUCUGUCUGUGUCAGGUCUUUCCCUCUCUGCCCCUGUUUAGUGUAGUCCACCGGGUGGCACAGAGUGUGUGGGAACUCGACGAUGUCCAGGUGUAGUAAACAUACGGUAACUAUUCAGAGCGGGGAGGGGUUGGAGGAAGGGGGGGUUUAACAUUAGUGUGUCUGGGCUGACACUGUCAAAGAAGAUUGCUCUGCACUGGGUCUCUUUUACAGCUAAAUCAAUGCAGUGUGUGUGUGUCUGUAUUAUCCCUGCUCACAUUGUAGUCUAGUGUUCUGAUAACAGCCUAAUCAAUGACUUGUGUGAAUGAGUGUGUGUGCCCCCCCAAUGCAAACUCAGACGAGACUCCUAAUGUGCUCUUUGUAGCAGGGUGGCGCCCUGAUAACUUAUGGUGUCAGUCCAUCUUCAUUAAAGUUUGAGUAAUGAAA